CUACGGGGGGCAGCAGUGAGGAAUUUUGCGCAAUGGGCGAAAGCCUGACGCAGCAACGCCGCGUGAGUGAUGAAGGCCUUCGGGUCGUAAAGCUCUGUCAAGUGGGAAGAACCUAUGUAAUGUUAAUAUCAUUAUAUACUGACGGUACCACUGAAGGAAGCACCGGCUAACUCCGUGCCAGCAGCCGCGGUAAUACGGGGGGUGCAAGCGUUAUUCGGAAUCAUUGGGCGUAAAGGGCACGUAGGCGGCCUGGUAAGUCAGAUGUGAAAGCCCGGGGCUUAACCCCGGAAGUGCAUUUGGUACUGUCAGGCUUGAGUAUGGGAGAGGGAAGUGGAAUUCCUGGUGUAGAGGUGAAAUCCGUAGAUAUCAGGAGGAACACCGGUGGCGAAGGCGACUUCCUGGACCAAUACUGACGCUGAGGUGCGAAGGCGUGGGUAGCAAACAGGAUUAGAUACCCCAGUAGUC
rnacentral:rRNA from 1 species